rnacentral:rRNA from 1 species
ACCCGCUGAACUUAAGCAUAUCAAUAAGCGGAGGAAAAGAAACCAACAGGGAUUGCCUCAGUAACGGCGAGUGAAGCGGCAACAGCUCAAAUCUGAAAUCUGGCCCUAGGCCCGAGUUGUAAUUUGCAGAGGAUGCUUUUGGCAAGGUGCCUUCCGAGUUCCCUGGAACGGGACGCCAUAGAGGGUGAGAGCCCCGUCUGGUCGGACACCGAGCCUCUGUAAAGCUCCUUCGACGAGUCGAGUAGUUUGGGAAUGCUGCUCAAAAUGGGAGGUAUAUGUCUUCUAAAGCUAAAUAUUGGCCAGAGACCGAUAGCGCACAAGUAGAGUGAUCGAAAGAUGAAAAGCACUUUGAAAAGAGAGUUAAAUAGCACGUGAAAUUGUUGAAAGGGAAGCGUUCAUGACCAGACUUGGCCCGGUUGAUCAUCCAGCGUUCUCGCUGGUGCACUCUGCCGGUCCAGGCCAGCAUCAGUUCGUCGCGGGGGACAAAGGCUUCGGGAAUGUAGCUCCCUCCGGGGAGUGUUAUAGCCCGCUGCGUAAUACCCUGCGGUGGACUGAGGUCCGCGCUUCUGCAAGGAUGCUGGUGUAAUGGUCAUCAACGACCCGUCUUGAAACACGG